rnacentral:rRNA from 1 species
CACGAAAUAAGGCGAGCUAAAUAAUAGUAAUUAGUAGAUUAAUAUAUGUAACAUAAUAUAAUUAAAUUGUUAUUUAGGGGUGAUAGGCUAUCCAAGUCUUAAGAUAUCUUGAUACUUUCGAAAAACAGCAGUGUUAAGACAACUUAAGAAUGAUAAGGUUUUUAAGAAGCAUUAAUAUUUAUAAAGAGUUUUUAUUUAAGUUUAACCAUUAGAUAUAGAGUGUCAAAUUAUUAUUGAUAUAAAAAAAUUAUGCAUACUACAAAGUACCAGGGAACAUAUUGGAAUGUUUAUAAUGUGAUUAUUAGUAAUUUCCUAGGUUAGAUUAAUGAACUCGGCGACAUACCUUUCAACUGUUUAUCAAAAACAUAGCCAUGAGUAACUAUUUAUGGUGUUUUCUGCUCCAUGAAUUAUUUAAAUAGCCGCAGUACUCUGACUGUGCAAAGGUAGCGUAAUAAGUUGACUUAUAAUUGAAGUCUUGAAUGAAAGAAAGUUUGAGGGGUAACUGUAUCAAUAAAAUUACUUGAAGUUAUUAAAUAAGUGCAAAUACUUAUAUUAAAAUAAUAGACGAGAAGACCCUAGAAAUUUUGAUCACAUUGUAUGUUAACAUUUUUGUUGGGGCAACAAGGUACCAGGAAACUUACCUUUAUAUACACGGAACUAUAUAGUUAGAUUAAAUUACUCUAGGGAUAACAGCGUAAUAUUUAUUUGUUUGCGACCUCGAUGUUGGACUAGGGAACGACUGCUUAGAA